GGACUACCCGGGUUUCUAAUCCUGUUUGCUCCCCACGCUGUCGCGCCUCAGUGUCAGUUACUGCCCAGCAGGCCGCCUUCGCCACCGGUCUUCUAUCGGAUCUCUACGCAUUCCACCGCUACACCCGAUAUUCUACCUGCCUCUACAGUACUCAAGCCUCGCAGUAUUCGCGGCAGACCUGGGGUUGAGCCCCAGGCUUUCACCACAAACUUACGACGCCACCUACGCGCCCUUUACGCCCAGUGAUUCCGGACAACGCUCGCACCCCCCGUAUUACCGCGGCUGCUGGCAC
rnacentral:rRNA from 1 species